rnacentral:rRNA from 1 species
GACGAACGCUGGCGGCGUGCCUAAUACAUGCAAGUAGAACGCAGUUGCGAACGGGUGAGUAACGCGUAGGUAACCUGCCUCAUAGCGGGGGAUAACUAUUGGAAACGAUAGCUAAUACCGCAUACUGUGAGAUGGACCUGCGUUGUAUUAGCUAGUUGGUGCGGUAAAGGCUCACCAAGGCGACGAUCCAUAGCCGCCCUGAGAGGGUGAUCGGCCACACUGAGACUGAGACACGGCCCAGACUCCUACGGAGGGCAGCAGUGGGGAAUAUUGCACAAUGGGCGCAAGCCGGAUGCAGCCAUGCCGCGUGGAUGAAGAAGGCCUUCGGGUUGUAAAGUACGUUCAGCGGGGAGCGGUACCCGCAGAAGAAGCACCGGCUAACUCCGUGCCAGCCGCCGCGGUAAUAC